rnacentral:rRNA from 1 species
CAGCCGCCGCGGUAAUACGAAGGGUGCAAGCGUUAAUCGGAAUUACUGGGCGUAAAGCGUGCGUAGGCGGUGAGUUAAGUCUGCUGUGAAAUCCCCGGGCUCAACCUGGGAAUGGCAGUGGAUACUGGCUCGCUAGAGUGUGUCAGAGGAUGGUGGAAUUCCCGGUGUAGCGGUGAAAUGCGUAGAGAUCGGGAGGAACAUCAGUGGCGGAGGCGGCCAUCUGGGACAACACUGACGCUGAGGCACGAAAGCGUGGGGGGCAAACAGGAUUAGAUACCCCAGUAGUCCCUGUCUCUUAUAC